AAAAUUUCUUCAAACAUUUUUUUGAGAGGAUUAAUAUUCAACAGCAUAGUGAAUUGCUCAAAGGCAAAAAAAAUAUUUUAAGUUCAUUAGACCACAUUCAUUCUGUGUCAGAAACCUAUGCUGUGUCAACUAUUUAAUUUUAGAUUUAAAAAGUUUGAAGAAGAAAUCUUUAAUUGAUUUGUAAAAUCUUGAAUUUGUUUUGUGUAAAAAAAAACAUGUAAUUGUCAAAAAUUUGAUCACAUCCAAAUUCAGAGCUGUAUCACGCUUGAAUGUUUUGUCCAUACUUGCCCCAACUGUUCAGGGUUCAACCUCUGCGGUCGUAUAAAGCUGCGCCUGCGGAGCACCUGGUUGUCCUGUUUUCAAAUUGGUCUAUCAUUAAAGUCCAAAGGGUCCAAAAUUAAACUAAGUUUGAUUUUAACAAAAAUUGAAUUCUUGGGCCUCUUUGAUAUGCUGAAUCUAAACAUGUGCUUAGAUUUUUGAUUAUGGGCCAGUUUUCAAGUUGGUCCAAAUCAGGAUCCAAAAUUAUUAUAUUAAAUAUGUGCAAUAGCAAGUCUUUUCAAUUGCACAGUAUUGUGCAAUGGCAAGAAAUAUCUAAUUGCACAGUUUGUGAAAUAGCAAAUUUUUUUUUAAUUAGAGUUAUCUUUCUUUAUCCAGAAUAGUAAGCAAGAAAUAUCUUAUUGCACAAAGCAAGAAUUUUUUAUAAUUGGAGUUAUCUUUCUUUGUCCAGAAUCAACUUAAAUCUUUGUUAUAUACAAUAUACAAUGUAUAUUCACUUUUUACUACCAACUGAUAAAUUUAAAUAAUCUUUACCAUUCAGUGAUAACAAGCAGUUUUUUUACAUCUUAAUAUUUAGAUGUAUUUAAAUGAGUAGUUAUUGUUGCAAACCUCAUUAGAUAUAUUUUAAUUGAGAUUAGUUUUGGAAUAAGGGAAAGGGGAUGUGAUUAAAAAAUUGGGUUCAAUUUUUCUUCAUUUGAAAUUUCAUAAAUAAAAAGAAAAUUUCUUCAACAUUUUUUGAGAGGAUUAAUAUUCAACAGCAUAGUGAAUUGCUCUAAGAGAAAACAAAAAUUUUAAGUUCAUUAGAACACAUUCAUUCUGUGUCAGAAACCUAUGCUGUGUCAACUAUUUAAUCACAAUCCAAAUUUAGAGCUGAAUCCAGCUUGAAUGUUGUGUCAUACUUGCCCCAACCGUUCAGGG
rnacentral:lncRNA from 1 species